rnacentral:lncRNA from 1 species
AAAAAAAAGACGCCUAUAAAUUCCUAGCUUCUCUACUACUUAACUUACAUUAAAAUUCACCUCAACAAUCUUUCUCUAUCAUCUACUUUCUUUAUCUAGCCUGUUGAUUCUCUCUGUAUACGCUUUCUCUCUCUAGAAAUCUACAAUGGCGUUGAAGGGAAUCUCUGGUGCUCUGUUCUUCUUAAUCCUAGCGGUGGCCGCAACGUACACCACCUCCGUGGCGGUAGCGCAAGAAAUCGAUCUGGCUCCGGCCCCGGCGCCGAUAAUGAUGCAAUCCGCAGUCGGUUACCCGGCGAUGUCUGGUGCAUUCGCUUUCAUUUCGCUGUUCUUGUCAUUCGUUUCCCUAAUUUUGCAGUAAAAGAGGCAUUCAGAGAUUUAUAUAGAUAUAUUUAAUUAUAUAUGUUAUAUAACUAGAUUUGGGGGUUUUGAUCUAUGGGAAUGAUGAGUGUUUAUGAGAAUGAGAUUGGAGAUGCUCUAUUUGUUAUUCUUUUGGCCCUAAUUUCGGGUUAGGGUUUUAUUUAUUAUUGUAUGGUCUUAUGAUGUACGGAUUUUUAUUAAGAGUUAUAUUCUAUUUAUUUAUUAUUUACUGUCUUUCCAGUUCGCUAGUUGUUUCUUAGCUUAGUUUUGGUUCAUACUCUAAUUUGCUUACAGUUUUCUAAUUUGGUUCAUACUCUAAUUUUUG